GAGCGCUGCCCCGGCUCAGAGUCGCUUUAGAACUCGGAAGUUUGACCCCCGCAGUUUCUCUUGAGUGGGUUUCUUUUUGAAAACAGCUUGUGCUCACAUGCAAACACACAUUGCCUGAGCCAACCACGCAGAACCCACGCUCAGUGCCUGCACGCUGUGGAGACGUCCACAGGACCACGGCCUGGGGAAUGCGCCAGCCCUCUGGAACAGCCUCACCGGAGUUCCAGGGGAGGUGCUGUGGUCCUCAGCACACCUGCACAGCUCAACAGCCCAUACAGCUCCACACACAGCUCAACACACACAGCUCAGCACACACAGCUCAACACACACAGCUCCACACACAGAGCUCAGCACACCUGCACAGCCCAACGCACACACAGCUUAGAACACACAGAGCUCAGCACACCUGCACAGCCCCACACACACAGCUCAACACACAGCUCAACACACCUGCACAGCCCAACACACACAGAGCUCAGCACACCUGCACAGCCCAACACACACAGCUCAACACACACAGCCCAACACACACAGCUCAACACACACAGCUCCAUACACAGAGCUCAGCACACCUGCACAGCCCAACACACACAGCUCAACACACACAGCUCAGCACACACAGCUCAGCACACACAGCUCCACACACAGAGCUCAGCACACCUGCACAGCCCAACACACACAGCCCAACACACACAGCUCAACACACACAGCUCAACACACACAGCUCAGCACACCUGCACAGCUCAGUACACCUGCACAGCUCCACACACAGAGCUCAACACACCUGCACAGCCCAACACACACAGCUCAGCACACCUGCACAGCUCAGUGCCACACACACAACUCAACGUACCUGCACAGCUCAACACACAGCUCAGCUCCACACACACAGCUCAGCACACCUGCACAACUCCACACACACAGCUCAACACACCUGCACAGCCCAACACACACAGCUCAGCACACCUGCACAGCUCAGUGCCACACACACAACUCAACGCACCUGCACAGCUCAACACCUUAUACCUCAACACACCUACAGAACUCAACACAGCUGUACACUAACACACCCACACAGCUGAACACACACAUUCUCUGACUCUCCAGGCUCUCCCUGGUCAGGAGAGCUGGGGGCCCAGCUCUCUGGUUAGGUUUUAGCUCAGAGUUUCUCUGAGUUUCUGAAAUUCGAAAUUAUCAAUGUGCCAGCCUGCAGGUGUCCUGUGACGUGCUCUGG
rnacentral:lncRNA from 1 species